UCCUUCACUCCCUCCCUGAAGAUGAAGGGACCUGGCUGUCUUCUCUUCAGCUACCUAAGCCUUUCCCACUUCCCAGCCAUCCGCACACAGCAGCUGAAGCCCAGACAGCCAGAUGUCUGUUGCAGAACAGCAUAGCGAGGGCCCAGACCUGCAGCCUUUCUCUACACAGAUGCUCUGGAGAUUUAAUCUUAAUUAACGAUGGGAGCUAUGGCCCCAAGAAUUGGAUUUUCAGAACAGAAAAUGUCCUUCCCAUUUUGUUCUUUCUCAUUCUCUCUCUUUUCAUUCCUCUGUCGUUUCCCCCAAUGUCACCGAAAUUUAAAAAUAAAUAGGAAAAUAUCGAACGAGGAGUCUCACCCACACGUUCACUGGGACCCAGGAAGGAGGCUGAGGAUGCAGAAGACUGCAGGCGGCCG
rnacentral:lncRNA from 1 species